ensembl:lncRNA RNF32-DT RNF32 divergent transcript
UCACGUCCCCUGGCCUCCAGUGUCAUCUGCUCUGCAUGAUAUCUCCAGGGGGACCUCUCUGCUGGGCUCCAGGCCGCAUGGCUGUGGGUGACCAGCAUCAUGUCCCACCGGGUCCCCUGCAGUCCCAGUGCACCUGCCUGCUCAUCCAGGGACCUGUCCUCACUGCCUGCUGCCUGCACUGUGUGGAAGGACAGAGGCUAAACGACGAAGCCUCGAGCUCUGGUCUCAUGGAAAUGGCAGCCUGCCCACCACCCACGCUUGCCCAGCCUUUCUUCACGCAGUGCGUAAAACACUUUUAAAAAUACAAGUAUUAUCCUGUCCUGUUUAUGAGUAAAA